AUGUGAAUACAUAGCAUAUCAGAAGGCACACCCGGAGAACUGAAACAUCUUAGUACCCGGAGGAAGAGAAAGAAAAUUCGAUUCCCUUAGUAGCGGCGAGCGAAACGGGAAGAGCCCAAACCAACAAGCUUGCUUGUUGGGGUUGUAGGACACUCUAUACGGAGUUACAAAGGACGACAUUAGACGAAUCAUCUGGAAAGAUGAAUCAAAGAAGGUAAUAAUCCUGUAGUCGAAAAUGUUGUCUCUCUUGAGUGGAUCCUGAGUACGACGGAGCACGUGAAAUUCCGUCGGAAUCUGGGAGGACCAUCUCCUAAGGCUAAAUACUCUCUAGUGACCGAUAGUGAACCAGUACCGUGAGGGAAAGGUGAAAAGCACCCCGGAAGGGGAGUGAAAUAGAACCUGAAACCGUGUGCUUACAAGUAGUCAGAGCCCGUUAAUGGGUGAUGGCGUGCCUUUUGUAGAAUGAAC
rnacentral:rRNA from 1 species